GGUUCGAUCAUGGCUCAGAUUGAACGCUGGCGGGAUGCUUUACACGCAAGUCGAACGGCAGCACGGACUUCGGUCUGGUGGCGAGUGGCGAACGGGUGAGUAAUGUAUCGGAACGUGCCUAGUAGCGGGGGAUAACUACGCGAAAGCGUAGCUAAUACCGCAAUACGCCCUUCAGGAAAGCGGGGGACCUUCGGGCCUCGCACUAUUAGAGCGG
rnacentral:misc_RNA from 1 species